AAGUCGUAACAAGGUUUCCGUAGGUGAACCUGCGGAAGGAUCAUUACAGAGUUCAUGCCCGAAAGGGUAGACCUCCCACCCUUGUGUAUUUAUACUUUGUUGCUUUGGCGGGCCGCCGCAAGGCUCUCGGCUUCGGCUGGGGCGUGCCCGCCAGAGGACCAUCAAACUCUGAACGUUAGUGUCGUCUGAGUACUAUAUAAUAGUUAAAA
rnacentral:misc_RNA from 1 species